rnacentral:rRNA from 1 species
UAAACUACGAUUAGAUACCCUAUUAUUUUAAAUGUAAAUAGUAAUACUUGAGUAGUAAUAGUUAUGUUCUUGAAACUCAAAGAAUUUGGCGGUGUUUUAGUCCUUUCAGAGGAACCUGUCCCGUAAUCGAUACCCCACGUAGAACCUUACUUAAAUUUGUUUUCAGCUUGUAUACCGCCGUCGUCAGAAUGUCUUUAGAAGGAUUGAAUUUUCUUAAAUUUUUAUUAAAAAUGAUGUCAGGUCAAGGUGCAGUUUAUGUUUAAGUGGAGAUGGGUUACAAUAAAUUUAUUUAAUAAUGGAUAUAUCUUUGAAAAAAGGUGUUAAAAGUGGAUUUGAUAGUAAUUUAAUUAAUUAUGUUAAUUUGAUUUUGGCUCUAAAACAUGCACACAUCGCCCGUCGCUCUUA